GUCAGCCCGACGCCGCGGGAGCCUAGGUAGUCAUCCAUCAGAAUAAUGACCAUUAAUGCGUCAUUCCGCCGGGCCGGACUGCCCUGGACGGCGCUCUAGGCAAGCCAUCCACAGCCUGAAGUGAGAUGCCAGCCAGAGACAGCCUGAGUCCGAGACACAAGGCAGAGAGAAUGAAGUACAAAUCAUAAUGGUCAUCACUCAGUGAACACACUCCCUUAAGCACCAUCCAGGAUGUUUAGCUGGUUUUUAAAGGAGAAAGAGACCGCUGAGAGAAAACACUGGAGUGGCAGCCCAGGCAGCUGUGCCUGCAGGAGGAUGCCUCCCAGCAGAACAGAGUCCUCACUUUCUGCACUUGAACUGUGUGUAAGAAAAUGAACCACCCAACUGGAAACAGGCACAAGAUAUCUUACUAGAAAAGGUCUCCAGAUGGUGGGCAAGCACAAGAAUGAAUGUAGUCAGCUGUUUCAUGCUGGUUACGAUGCAGAGAUAAGCAGCCUCUCUUCCUGCUGAUGGGACUGAAAACUAAUCCAGCCAUGAUGGAAAACAGCUUGGAGAUUCCUUUCAGAAUUACCAUGGGAUCCCGCAGUUAUACCAGUGGGAAUAUAUCGUCACGCU
ensembl:lncRNA